GGGGUAGAAAUUAUCCCUUUCCUUCGGGACUCUUUGCAAGGUGCUGCAUUGGUUGUCGUCAGCUCGUGCCGUGAGGUGUCGGGUUAAGUCCCAUAACGAGCGCAACCCUUAUCGUUAGUUGCCAGCGGGUCAUGCCGGGAACUCUAACGAAACUGCCGGUGUAAACCGUGAGGAAGGUGGGGAUGACGUCAAAUCAGCACGGCCCUUAUGUCCAGGGCUACACACGUGCUACAAUGGCCGGUACAAAGGGUUGCAAUACCGCGAGGUGGAGCUAAUCCCAAAAAGCCGGUCUCAGUUCGGAUUGGAGUCUGCAACUCGACUCCAUGAAGUCGGAAUCGCUAGUAAUCGCGUAUCAGCGUGACGCGGUGAAUACGUUCCCGGGCCUU
rnacentral:rRNA from 1 species